GAAAUUUACUAAUAUAUUUGGUGCAGAUCACCAGAACUCUUGAUGCAAGAAAAAUGUUUUCAAGACUUGCUGUAAACGAAGAGAAUAUCUAAUAUAGUAUAAUUUUAAAGCGUAUAAUUAUAGUGCACAAACUAAAUUUCUAUCAUCAGACUACUCUCCUCAAAAAUUCUUUCCUAGCUCAACUUUUUUCACCAUUCUCAUUGUGUUGUGCAGAAUCGAGUCCAGUAUGCCGGCAACCGUGAAAACACCACCAAUAAUAGCGCAGACAUUGGUAAGAAAAUGUGAAAAGGACUUGGGAUUUUCUGUAAUCAAGACCUGCAUUGGUGAUGGCUCAUAAUGAAAUUUCGCUACUGGUAUGUGAAGACUAUGAACCAAACUACUAUGUGCCGUGUACUCGUACUCCUCAACUAAUUUGUACGAUCUUGUCAUCACCUCUGUUUUCACCACUUGAAGAAAAUGUUCAAUAGUAACAUUUUCUGUGGAAUCUCUUGGAUUAGUAACAUAUGAGUUACCAUUCAACCUAUCAUGGCUUCGACCCAAAUGUGGUAGCAGUAUUUUGAUAUCACUCAUAACCUUCGGAGUAAUUGUCUUACCAAAUGAAAAGCUAGAAAUUACAUGUGACAUGUUCAUCUGAGAAGCAUCAAAUGAAUGAGCAGCUGAACGAGCUGAUAUGACAAGGUUGCCAGGAACCUUCUUAACACGUACAAAACCUUCUAUUCUGCAUCCUCCAGUUACAGGAGCAGGUCUUUUCAAGCCAGUUUCCAGCUUGGUAGACGAAUUAUCUGAAGUAAUCGUUUGAGAAUCCAGCUUGAUAGGUGCAACCAAAUCUUCCAUCAUCUUGACUAAGCUAUCUGUAUCACGAUCCCCAUAGUAUGACUCGUGAUCAUGGUGUCCGUGAUCGUCUCUAACAUCAGUUCCUUUUCUGAAGAUGCGAAUGGAGGGAUACCCUUGUAUGUGAUUCCUUCUACACAAAUCAACUUCUUCAGUG
rnacentral:misc_RNA from 1 species